ACAGCAUGGGGGUGAAAGCCCAAGACAAAUCGGAGAGCAAUUUUGAUGUGAUGGUGGGUAUAUUCAGGUCUCUACCUUACCUAGAAACAUGAGGACCAGGGCGCCCCCCACCAUGAUCACCGUCUGCAGAGCAUCUGUGUAGAUCACGGCCGUGAGACCCCCUGGGGACCCAAGGAGAGGGCUCAUCAGUCAGCACCAACAAGGGGUUCCUCUCUGGCUGCCCGCCCUGUGCUUGGCCACACUGGGGAGACCAGACAAGACAUGGAGUCCUCUUAGCAGGUCGAUUCUAGCCACCUGCCUUCCCCCCACAGGCUGGUGCCAGCCACUGGCACUCAAAUCUAGCUCUUUCUCUCCCCAGUGGCCCUUGGGUACCGCAGCUGCACCUCCCUCCUUUGUUCUUAUUGUUUUUAAUACCCCAAGACUAUUCCUCUGCUGGGCUGAUAGUUCUACCAGGAAUACUCCCUCCCUCCCCACCAAACACCGUUUAAAUUCCCUAUAUUUGCAAACUGACUUAGCCACAAGCCAGGAACCCAGGUGCCCAGGCCUAUGGGAGGUGCUCUGGAGGAGACAGAGGAAGGCAGGCUGGUGGCUUUGCCUGGAACAGUCCACAGCCACACUACUCCUGGUGACAGUCCCCUAGUCACGCUCCUGCUCACUGUAGCAUCCCUAGGUGACCCCACUCCACCUCUCCCUGUCUCUCUGUCUCUGCUCCAGGCACCUGCACCCCAACACGACCCGCCCUUGGCCUUACCUGCAAUGGUGUAGACAGCUGUCACCACCAGAAGCAUCACUGUGGAGAGGUAUAGGUUCCAGCCCAAGGCUAUCUGGAUGAACAGGGCUCCAGAGAAGAUGUCAGUCUGCAGAGACCGGGACCCAGGAGUCCAGGUCACCUGAGGCCCUCGCUGUGGCCACCAGGGUAUGAUGCCUCCUGCUCAGCCAUACCAAGUGCUGUCAGCCCUCAUCACAUAAUGAGGCUGAGCCUAAAGUGCCAUGCUGAGGAGAAUGGGUUUGGCCUCGGGGAUGCUGAGGAGCCGUGGAGAUUUUCAGGCAGAGGAGCACCGCAUAAAACUUUGAAACCGAGAGCAAUGAGGUCUGGUGGCACUAAUGGGAUAGUCUGUGGGUCGUGAUGGCAGGGGGGAAGGAAUGAAGAGUAGACAGAGGAGAGGAAGUGGGGAGCAGGGGUUGGAGAAGAGAGAGCAGGCACCCAGAGGCCCUCUUUUCCCUAGCAGAGCAGAGGCCCGCCCAGCUGCCAGGGGGCCCACGCUGACCAGACGGGCAGGAGCCCCAGGACAGAUGACCGCACUUCUGGAGGCUUUACAUGUUUGGGUUUAUUAGAGGACCCGGCUGACCAGACAACAUGCUGACUUAGGCUUGUUUUCCAGCAUUGGUGGACAAGUGGCUGUACCAUUUUUCCCAUCUCUCGACCUGGCAACUCGUGGACUCAGUCCCCUUCAGUGCCUGCUUGCUGAUCCCAUUGCAUGGCUGUUUCAUGAACCCAUCCCAGGGCUACAACAGGACGGAGUGCCAGGACGCCUGGACCGGGUCACAGGACCCAAACUUUAGUUCAGUCCCACAGCUCUAUUCUGUGUGGACAUGGGCGAACCAUCUGCCCUAGGUUUGUUUUCGGAGUGUAGGUCAGAGGAGGAGGAAUAAGGAUCUUUUGAACAGUGACAUGUAGGCAACAAAUUCAUGGUGCUUAAUGGAGGAUCAAUUAAUGGAGAGAGAAAUGAAUGAAUGCACUCUAGAUUAGGAAUUAUUUAAAUAGAGGCACUGUCAUUUACUUAACAGGUACUUCUCAUUCAUCUGUGAUCGCUCCACUGCUGAGGGAGAGCGUGCAUUGAAGUGUAGGAAACUGAGUCCCGAGAAGAGACAUGUUUAUUCCAAGCCACAAAGUGGGGCAGGAAUUCACACUCCUGCCCUGUGCUGUGACAGAUGAGUGAUCUUGGGAAGGACACGGAACACGCCGGAUCCAGGGAAGACCAGCUGCCCCAGGGCCCAGGCAGACUGCUAGUCCCAGCAGCCCAGCCCACUGAGCUGCAGAGUGACCAUGGACAGGUCACUAAGUGACUCCGGACCUGGGGUCCCGUCAGCGUGGCCUAUACCCUGCCCACCUCGCAGGGCCAGUGAGUGCCGGUCCUCCUAUCCUCCCCUCCGGAAGUUACCCUUAGGGUUCCACUGCCCACACGCCCUGUCCCCCAGCCCCAUCCUCACAGACACCCAAUGCCAAGCCCUCACCCUGCACAUUUUACCUAACCUAAACCAGCAGGCUGGGCCCAUAGCAGCCAUCCCUCUGAUGCAUCUGAGACCCAUCUGUUAGCCAGCCAGACAUCUUAGCAGCCCAGAGCCAAGAGAGUGCCAGGAAGGAAGUGAGAGAGGUUUUGAAACCUUCAGAAUAGAUGCUGUGAAGCUUAUACAUGAAGGCCACCCGCUGACGCAUUGGUGAGCCCCAGAUCCCCCACUCAGGGCCUGUCUUGUUUUGCUUCGCCUAGAGUGUUAUUUUGUGCUGCAGCUCACAGCAAAUUAAAAACAACAACUUAACAGUGGGAGAGAGACUGCCAGAGGCGUGCAGGGCGUUGCAGGGCCAUGGGGGGCAGAGGGGGACGGCCGCUGAUGGGCACACAGCACAUGGGCGUCCUGAUAACCAGGGAAAGUGGAAAGGAUGACGUAAGAGUGGCCAAAUUAGAGCGAACAACCUAGGAAUCAGGCUCCAUCAAUUCUCAGCCGAGGCCAUUCCUGAACAGCAGCUGAGGAUUCAUAUGCAAAGCAAUGACCCAGAGUCACUGAGGAAAGAUCGCACCGUGCCCAUUAUGGAUUUUCUACUUAGCAUGGAUUAUGAAAUCCAGACAGGAAGAGUUUCAUCCAAAUGGUUUGACAUUUGAGGCAGGUGCUGGCAGGCCAGGAGGAGGCCCCACUUAUGCAGGAAAUCCUCUCGGAGAACCCCCGAGACAGAGGAUAUGGUGGCGUUGUGGUUCUUACAGUAAGCGCGCACCUGUUCCGCACCUGGCUCUGGGGGCCCCCGGGAGGCCACCAGCGUGCUGCCAGGCUGGCCGGAAAACAGCCGGGCACACGGGACAGGCGCCUUCAGCACAAGGCACGUCAAGAUUCACCCCCCUCCCUCUGAGCUGCAGAGUUCCGGGAAGGAACGACCGACCGAGUCCAGUUGGGGAGGCGGGGCGGGCUCUCCGGGGAAGCGCAGCAGAAGCAGAAGCGUAGCAGGCCGAGAGGGUGGAGAGAAACCAAACAAGCUGGCCUGGCAGCCAACCCUGGCAGGGUGGGAGCUGCAGGGACAGUGUUUACAUGAAGAUACAAGUGUUGAAUACCAGCGUCGGACAGUGCAGUUUCUGAGGAGUAUCUGAACCAAGGCUGCGUUUUCAGAGUUACAGCAGCGGCAGGGACUGUGUGGCCGAGUUUCAGCUGGGGGGCGACAGAAGAACUACAUCCCCCUGGACCAGCUGUUUAGAUUCGAGACCCGAGGGGUCGCAGCUGGGGUUGGGGAGGAUGGCUUCAUGACGAGUCAAUAUCACCCCACCUCCUCACAUCCUCCUCCGGAAGCAGAGCCUGCGGCUACCCAAACAAGGUUCUGGAGAGUUCUCCCGUGAGCAGCUGGCCCUUGCUGGAAGACAAUAAAUGGUCUCUACUGUCUCUCAUAAGAAGCUGGUCAAGGAGGUCAGAGGAGCCUGGGGUUGGCAGGUGGAGGCAGAGGCAGCGGACCUGGGCUCACGCUCCUGUCGGCCAUCCCAGCUCACCUACCCCACGUCAUGCCCUCUCCUGAUUCUGGGUAAUUGGACACCCCACGGCUGCCUGUUUCCCCCAUUAUAACUCCUAUCAGUUGUGCUAUAACUGCCUGCCUCUCCCGUUAGGGAUUCGUGGAAGGCAGAGUUUGUUGGAUUCAUUUCUGUCCUAGUGCAUGGCACGGGGCCUGGCACACAGUAGA